rnacentral:rRNA from 1 species
UACGGGGGGGGCAAGCGUUGUUCGGAAUUACUGGGCGUAAAGGGCCAGUAGGCGGCCAACUAAGUCGGAUGUGAAAUCCCCAGGCUCAACUUGGGAACUGCAUCCGAUACUGGAAGGCUUGAAUCCGGGAGAGGGAUGCGGAAUUCCAGGUGUAGCGGUGAAAUGCGUAGAUAUCUGGAGGAACACCGGUGGCGAAGGCGGCAUCCUGGACCGACACUGACGCUGAGGAGCGAAAGCCAGGGGAGCAAACGGG